UUCGAGUCUCAUAAGAAAGGGUUAGAAUACUUGUGUAAAUGUGAUAUUUCCGUUUUUUUGCAAACAUUUCUAAAAAACAGUUUUUGCUUCGUCAUUAUGGGGUGUGGAUUGAUGUAGAUGCAUGCAUUUAAAUGCAUUAAAAUGCAUUUAAUCCAUUUUAGAAUAAGACUAACGUUACAAAAUGUGGAAAAUGGAAAGGGGUCUGAAUACUUUCGGAAAGAAUUGUACAGUAAAGGGACAAUCAAAAAUAUUUACAGCUGUUCUCAUUCUCAAUUCAAUUAUUGAUAGAAUUAAUGAUAAUAUAACUUAGGAAUGCAUCACAAUAUUUUUAUAAACCAACAAUGUUUUUCCUCAUAAUACUGUAUGUUUAAAACUUUAAUUGUGAUCUGAUGACGUUUCAGGUAAGACCCAAAUGCAGACUGUGUCGAAGUAACAAUGUUUAUUACAGAAACAUGGGGCAGACAAAUGACCGGUCAAGGCAGGCAAGGGUCGAUAAUACAGAGUAGUGGGGCAAAGGUACAGGAUGGCAGGCAGGGUCAGGUCAGGCAGAGGUCAGUAAUCCAGUGUAGUGUGGCAAAGGUACUGUCAUGGACUCAUUAUGUCCAUAGCUCCAUCUAUGAAUGUCAGAGCAAAACCAACUGAUGGAGAUGUCGUUUGGCUGAAAAACUAGUUAUAGAUUGUGUCUUGAAAGGUUUCAGUUCCGUCCUGUGCUCUCUAGAUCCCUUGACAGUCUUGUGCUCUCUAGAUCCACCCUCUCUGUUUGAGAUGAAUCAUGGUAAAUAUUAUCUUUAAACAAGUUGUCACUCAGUAAACACUUAUAUGACGUGUGAAUGUCUUGUAGGAUCUUCUUUGGAACGUGUCUCCGAGUUUAAAACGUGCCCUUUCACAUAUGUAGUCACUGGUGUCAUGGUGCUGGGGAUAAUGAAUAUGGAGCCAGACCUGAACUACGCUUUAUCACGUCUGCAUUUUGCGAAGAGUAAAAUGACACCCGAGAUCACUUUCUAAGUCGAAAUGUAAAUCAAUAUCUACCCCUCAGAAAUGUUUCAAUAGAAUCUACAUGGUGAAAGGAAAAAUAAACCUAUUGACAUUUUGUUUCUAACAUAGCCUAACAACCACUGCUUUGAAGGAGUAGUUGGGUUUAUCUCAAACAUAUUUUUAUUAUACACAGCUGCUAUCCACUGACAAGCUUAACAAUUAACAGCUUUAACAAAUACAGACAGGGGAGGCACCUAAAACUGACAUUUAAACAACAGAACAGUCAAUACUGAAGAGGCUUUGGCUGAGCAGUAGCAUAGUAAACGCGGUAGUGAAUUGGUUUAAAAGACACGUUCCAUUUGUUUUAACCUAUACAUUGGGAUUUGGGACAAAAGGCAAGAAAGAUUAUCCUGAUACUAACUCAAUGCAUAGCUAUUGAACUGGUCUGUAUCAGUGGAUGUCAUUGAGGCCCCUAUUUUUAUUUUACCUUUAUUUAACUAGGCAAGUCAGUUAAAGAACAAAUUAUUAUUUUCAAUGACAGCCUAGGAUCAGUGGGUUAACUGUCUUGGUCAGGGGCAGAACUGCAGAUUUUGACCUUGCCAGCUCAGGGAUUUGAUCUUGCAACUAAUCAGUUACUCGUCCAACCCUCUAACCACUAGGCUUCCUGCCACCCCAUGAGAAAGACUGGAAAUGACCAACACAGGAAGCCUGAAAUGAUGGCACAAGUGCAACAUUUAUUUCUCCCAUAAUACCCUUAACAUGUGUUCAUAUUGUUUCAAAGUCUUAUUUUAAGGAAGGACUGGAGUGUGUCAUCAAUUGAUUUAUGUUGUCACUGCGAGACCAGUUCUGGUUUUCCUUUUUGCUCCUCCUCGACAGGGAGAGGGAGGGAGGUAGGAAAGGGACAGGUUAUAAAGGACAGGGAAAGAGGGGCAGAGAGAUGGGAGAGAAAAGGGGUAGAAAAGCAACGAAAAGUUAAAAUAAUAAAAUAGUAAUACGUUUCCUUAUUAGAUACUUUGUGCCAGAGGUAAAAAACAAGACACGCUCUCUUGUCUACUCUCAUUGUUCUGCAAGAGGUAACUCAACAGUUAACACAACACACAUCUAGAACCAUUCCUAAAGGUAAAGUGGGAGUAACCAUGAUGCCAAGCUUCAAAUGUCCACAGACUUUGCAAAUACUGUAAAAGACUGUAUGAAUAUUACAAAGGCAUUACUAUAUACUAUAUGUGCUGUGUGGCUUCUCAUUGUGCAACCCAACCAUAACAUAUGGGCAAAACUGGUUGCAAUGAGAUCAGGCCUGGUAUCAAACGCAGGUGGUCUGUGCAACUCAAUACCACAUUAACCCACUGGCACAGAGCUAAAGCCUACAGUUGUAGCCAUGAAUGAGGGCUGUGUACUGAAUGUCAACUUACACUCUUCAGAUGAAGUACAAAUAAAGGAAAGUAAAUAUAUGGCUAGGGAGGGUGUGACUAACUGACAGAGAUACACAGAUGCUCACCUCCAGGAAAGGUUCUGCAAACACUCAGGGGUCAUGUGUAUCUUUGCAUACUAACUGUGUCUGUGCUUGCAGUCUUUCUGGCUUCAGAGAAGUCCAGCUAAAAAGGUAAUCAUUGUUAGAGAGUGUGUGUGUGUUUGUGUGUUACUUCUGCUUUUUCAACAUUUAGAGAAGUGAAUCAGACAGGUAAAAAAAAAAUGCAACUGUUUGACCAAGCAGAGGAAGUGCCACUUUAUUUGACCUGCAUCCUGUGUUCAAACUAGUUUUUUGGGCAAAAAUGUCCUGGUACUGUAAAGUUCACAAUGCCGUUGUCCUUAAUAAGGGCCCCAGGACCAGUUGAAGCAAAAUAGCCCCCAUAACAUCGAAGAUCCACCACCAUAUUUUACAGUAGGGAUGAGGUAUUUUCUGCCUAUGCAUUGUUCUUUCAUAGACAAAAACCCACCGCUGCUGUGUGUGGCCAACAAGCUCUAUUUUCAGGUCAUGUGACCAUUGUACUGGUUCCAAUCCAAGUGACAAUGGCAUUUAUCAAACUCCAGGCAGUGAUAUGGUCAGAUGUCAUGUAAAUAGAGUUCUUUGGCCACGCACACCAAUGGUGUGUGUUAUAUAUUUUUGCUAACCUUUAUCAAGGCAUCCAAUCAUUGCAGACCCCACUGUACAUAUGUGACUGUCUCUGCUUGUGAUCACAGACUAAUUUCCUUUCCCAUCAGUCUGUCACAUUGUGUGGUCAGCGCUUUUCUGUCACGUGUUACUAGUGGUUUGACCCCACUGAGAAGGAGCCCCACACAGUCUUCUCUGUGUACAGGAGCCCCGUCUGACACGCAGGCCUAUGUGGUGAAAUACCACUGCUAUGAAUACAUUCCACUGUAUCAAACAAAAUAGGUCUACUCAUAGUUUUUCAUAGUACUUCACUAAAACGUCAAAAGUUUUCACCCCAUAGGACCUCCAUUAGAGAAAACAACAAUUUCUCCACCUCUAAAAAUGUUAUUUUGAAAUUCUUAUUGUGGUUUAUGUUUCAGUUGCGUAUAUUCCAUUUAUUUUAUUUGAUGACAUUUUGAUUUCAUCUCAUCUCUCUAGAGCUUCUGCCUAUGCUGUCUGCCAAAAUCACUGUUUUAGUAGAUCCGUGUCUGACGCACACUAACCGGCAUAGGUGGUGGGCCAAACCAAGAUGCAGUACCUGCUUUAGUUUUUGAGACAAUCGAUCUCUAUCGAGGGAGGAGCUGUUUUUUUUUGGCGUGUUAUUUUCAUAUUUGUAAUUUUUUUAUAUACUGUAUAUAUUGUUUUACGCCUUUUUCUGCCCAAUUUCGAGAUAUCCAAUUGGUAGUUACAGUCUUGUCCCAUCGCUGCAACUCCAGUAUGGACUCGGGAGAGGAGAAGAUCGAGACCCAUGCAUCCUCCGAAACACGACCCCGCCAAGCCGCACUGCUUCUUGACACAAUGCUUGCUUAACCCGUAAGCCAGCCACACCAAUCUGUUCGGAGGAAACACUGAACAGCUGGAUGUAAAAACCAGAGAAGCAGACAGCUGGUGAUGACUGCUCGCUAGAGUUUUCUGUCCGACAAACUGCUAUGAGGCCGGUGGUUCCUGGUCCCCUACCCGAUGCUAUCUCCAACAACAUCCCCCCAAUCCUCCUAGACAUUGAGGGGAGUCAGGGAUAUUUUAUCAGAUCUCUACUGGACUCCCGGCGUUGUAGGGGUCGGCUCCAGUACCUGGUGGACUGGGAGGGGUAUGGCCCACACGAGCGAUGUUGGGUUCCGGUUGAGGACAUUCUGGAUCCCAACAUCAUCCAUGAUUUCCACCUUUGCCGCCCGGAACACAUCAGGGGUGGGGGGGGUUACUGUUACUGUCACUGUCUAGUCCUGCUCCUCCACUCCGGCGUUCGACAUUGCCUGACUGCUAACCACCGUUCCUGGGAUUCAUCAUUACGCACACCUGUUUAUCAUUAUGAUUCACACCUGGACUCCAUGACCUUCCUCAUUACUUCACAUUCAUCUGUCCCUCUCUUACGUUUGUUCCACAGUCACUAUUGUUCCUAUGCUUUUCGCCACUGUGAUGUUCUCGUUUCAUGUUUAUUGUUUUAUUAAACAUUUCACCUGCACCUGCU